GUGCUUGCUUCGGCAGCACAUAUACUAAAAUUGGAACGAUAUAGAGAAAAUUAGCAUGGCCCCUGCACAAGGAUGACAUCUAUUUUUAACAUUUUUAUAAAAUUUAA
rnacentral:snRNA from 1 species